AAUGGGCGAAAGCCUGACCCAGCAACGCCGCGUGAAGGAAGAAGGCCCUCGGGUUGUAAACUUCUUUUAUCAGGGACGAAAAAAAUGACGGUACCUGAUGAAUAAGCCACGGCUAACUACGUGCCAGCAGCCGCGGUAAUACGUAGGUGGCAAGCGUUAUCCGGAUUUACUGGGUGUAAAGGGCGUGUAGGCGGGACUGCAAGUCAGAUGUGAAAACUAUGGGCUUAACCCAUAGCCUGCAUUUGAAACUGUGGUUCUUGAGUGAUGGAGAGGCAGGCGGAAUUCCGUGUGUAGCGGUGAAAUGCGUAGAUAUACGGAGGAACACCAGUGGCGAAGGCGGCCUGCUGGACAUUAACUGACGCUGAGGCGCGAAAGCGUGGGGAGCAAA
rnacentral:rRNA from 1 species